AUGGCCCCACAUGUCAUACAUAGAAGAAAAAAACAGAGCCGCCUGGAGCACCCGGCCGGCAGGCGACCAGGUACGAAGAGCCCACCACCGGCGACCACUCUUCCUCGCUGUGGCAGUGACCAAGCGCCCUCUCACCGCCGGCCGCCGGCACCUCGACGGACGAGGAAGAAGAGGGGGCCUUGGAGCAGCAGCGAGUUGAGGCAGAAGGAGGAGCACGUCGUCAUCGGCGUCGAUCCAACUCCAAGACACCGUGCGAACAGGAGGGAGGGUUUGAUCGAUGGCGGCAGGCCGGCAGCGGAAGCAGGACACGCGCGCGUGCCGCACCUAGCUUCCACCAGCUUCCAUCCGCUAGCUAGCUACUUAUCAGAAUCACUACCCAAUGGCCGUAGGGGCAACUGGCAAAGGAGGAGAAGAUCAGGAACAUGAAUCGAGGAGCAGGGCGUGCAGCGGCGGUGGAGACUAGAGCCGUGGGGCGUGGCAAUGGCAGCAUUGAGCCAAUGACGGAGAUGAGGACGAGAGCCUCGACCGACCAGACCAGACCAUACCAAACCAGACAGACGAGCGCAAGAUAAAUAAAGAUCCGGAAAAGAAUAAUACGGGGAAAAAAAGAGAGGAAGAUACUCCACCACAUUAGCAGUGCGAAUGCAAUCAAAUUCAUCUCAACUGUAUAUUCCAAACUAAAGCACUUCUACAUACUAAAACCAGAUGCAGAUAAGUGCCAUCACAUCAGCAAUAUAUUUGGUCUCUGCACAGGACCACAAAAGUUGCCUUUCUUAAGUUCAGGCAUCAAAACAUCUAAUCAAUACGAA